UACGUAGGGGGCUAGCGUUGUCCGGAUUUAUUGGGCGUAAAGCGCGUGUAGGCGGCCAGGUAGGUCCGCUGUGAAAACUCGAGGCUCAACCUCGAGAUGUCGGCGGAAACCCUCUGGCUAGAGUCCGGAAGAGGAGAGUGGAAUUCCCGGUGUAGCGGUGAAAUGCGCAGAUAUCGGGAAGAACACCCGUGGCGAAGGCGGCUCUCUGGGACGGUACUGACGCUGAGACGCGAAAGCGUGGGGAGCGAACAGG
rnacentral:rRNA from 1 species